ensembl:lncRNA
AGAGAGAGAUGUAGAGAGAGAGAGAGAUGUAGAGAGAGAUGUAGAGAGAGAUAUGUAGAGAGAGAGAUAGAGAGAGAGAGAGAGAUGUAGAGAGAGAGAGAUGUAGAGAGAGAGAGAUGUAGAGAGAGAGAGAGAUGUAGAGAGAGAGAGAUAUGUAGAGAGAGAGAGAUGUAGAGAGAGAGAGAUGUAGAGAGAGAGAGAUGUAGAGAGAGAGAGAGAUGUAGAGAGAGAGAGAGAGAGAGAUAUGUAGAGAGAGAGAUGUAGAGAGAGAGAGAGAGAGAGAGAGAGAGAGAUGUAGAGAGAGAGAGAGAGAGAGAGAGAGAGAG